CGCGGGAUGGAGCAGUCUGGUAGCUCGUCGGGCUCACUAAAUCGAGAAAGGCGAAGGUCGCUUUUUCAAAUCCGGCUCCCGCAACCA
rnacentral:tRNA from 1 species